UGUGUUUUCCAUCCUCGACGUCUGCUCGUUCUUCCUCUUCUUUGCUGCGUGCUUCUACUUCUUAUGUUGUGUGCGUUGCUGCUGUGCGUCGGCAUUUCCACUUUGCACGCCACCUGCUCGACAAAACUCCCCUGUUCAAUCUGUUGUGCAGACUGUUGCUGUUCGUGGCGUGUUGGUUUCGGACGAAAUUCUUGUAAAGACGAGAAUAUUGUUAAAGAUAGUUGCAGCAAACAAUGAUGUUGGCAUGCCACCUGCUCGACAAAAUUCUUUAAGGUUGGAUUUGUUGAUAGGGGUUGUGGCUUAAAUUUAUUUGCUUGGUGGAAAAUUAUAUAUUGUGGUUUUAUAUUGAUAAAUGGUUAUGGCACAUAAGCAAUCUGUAAAAGUAGAUUUGUUGCCCCUUCUUUGGAGUAAUUGAUUGUUGUUGAUUUCUGUUGAAUUUUCCUUUCUUUUGUCUGUUCCGUAUGGCUGAAGCUAGAGAUGAUUCGCUUCAAGAAGUUAGUGUUCAGUUGGAUGGUAAGAAUUAUGCAUAUUGGAGCUACGUGAUGAAAAAUUUCUCGAAAGGGAAACAAAAGUGGGGAUAUAUUUCGGGUGCUUAUAUUAAGCCUCAAGAUGAUGUGGCAUUAUUGGAUAAAUGGGAAGUUGAUAAUUCAAAAAUUAUUACUUGGAUCAAUAAUUCUGUUAAGCAUUCGAUAGGCACCCAAUUAGCAAAAUAUGAGACGGCUAAGGAGGUUUGGGAUCACCUAGCUAGACUGUAAACACAGUCUAAUUUUGCAAAGCAAUACCAGUUGGAGUCUGACAUUCGUGCUCUUCAGCAGAAAAGUAUGAGUAUUCAGGAAUUCUACGAUGCUAUGACAGAUUUGUGGGAUCAGUUGGCUCUCACAGAACCUGCUGAAUUACGAUCCUUUGGGCCUUAUAUUGUACGAAGAGAGGAGCAGAGAUUGGUACAAUUUUUAAUGGCCCUUCGUGAUGAGUUUGAAGGACUUCGUGGGUCUAUUCUGCAUCGUCAUCCACUGCCUUCUGUUGAUUCUGUUGUUAGUGAACUUUUAGCUGAAGAAAUUCGUUUGAAGUCCUCGGUUGUAAAAGAGGUUUCUCCAGCUUCUACUCCAUCUGUUUUUGCCAUGCCUCCUCGAUCAAACUCUAAAUCUCAGUUCAGGCCAUAUGGAUCUGUUGCUCGUGAUGAAUGCGGGUUUUGCAAGCAAAAAGGUCAUUGAAAAUCUCAGUGUUCGAAAUUGGGCAGAGGAAAACAGCAACAGUUUCAUCAACAGCAGCAGCAACAGUCUCAUCAGUGGUCGUAUCGAUCACCGCCUCCCCACAAUGGACCUCCUCUUCUACCUCGUCCUCACAAUGCCUUGUCAACCUCCUCCUUAGACCCAUCACUGAUUGAGCAGUUUCAGCAGUUCCUUGCUUCUCAGCCUCAUGCCAUGUAUGUUUCCUCUCAAGUAGGUCUGUCAUCUAGUCCUUCAGGAUCCACAGUCUCAGAAAGUGAUUGGGAUCGGCCAUAGAGAAGGAGGACUUUAUGUAUUGGAUCAACUCAAAACCCCUCACACUGUGGCUGUUGUUCCUGGUGUGAAUUUGUCAUCCUUUCGUUUGAAUCCCUCUUCAUCUGUGUUUUAUUUGUGGCACUCUCGCCUUGGUCAUGUCUCUGUGUCUCGUUUAAAAUUUUUAGUUUCUACAGGAGCUUUAGGAAAUUUGAAAACUCAUGAUAUUUCUGAUUGUAGUGGUUGUAAACUAGCCAAGUUUAAUGCAUUGCCUUUUCCUAAAA